AGUGAACGUUGGCGGCGUGGAUUAGGCAUGCAAGUCGAGCGAGAACCGUAGCAAUACGGGGACAGCGGCGAAAGGGACAGUAAUGUGUAGGUACCUACCUCCGGGUUCGGGAUAGCUGCGGGAAACUGCAGGUAAUACCGAAUAACGUCUCCGGACCAAAGGUGUGAUUCCACCUUGGGAGGGGCCUGCAUCCUAUUAGCUUGUUGGCGGGGUAACGGCCCACCGAGGCGACGAUGGGUAGCGGGUGUGAGAGCACGACCCGCGUCAUUGGGACUGAGACACUGCCCAGACACCUACGGGUGGCUGCAGUCGAGGAUCUUCGGCAAUGGGCGCAAGCCUGACCGAGCGACGCCGCGUGCGGGAUGAAGGCCUUCGGGUUGUAAACCGCUGUCGUAGAGGAGGAAAUGCAGGGGGGUUCUCCCUUCUGUUUGACCUAUUCUAGGAGGAAGGACGGGCUAAGUUCGUGCCAGCCGCCGCCGUAA
rnacentral:rRNA from 1 species